rnacentral:lncRNA from 10 species
AAUUUAUGCUUGUUCUGUGAAAAUAAAAACACUGCUAUGGAUCUUCCAAGUAUCCUGAAAGGAUACAGUUUAUAAUUAAACAACAACAAUUUUAGAAAUAAUUAUUUUAAAUAAAGCUAUGAUAAAUCUGGUUUCAUUGCACACUUUAACUUUGGAACAUUUCAUGAAGCGUCCCUUGAUCACGACUCUCACAUUCAGGAGUUUUUUGAGAUCAAAUGGGACAAUCAGUAUGAAUCUAUUUUUUAGACAUGCAAAUGGAUAACUUUAAAUAGCAGUAGCGAUAUAGAGUGCACAGUUGCUCUGGGACAAAACUUGGAAAUGAGCAUAUUUUUAGAUUCUUAAUGUUUUGCACACUUUAGCAUUCCACAGCACCAUUACAUACUCAUUUUUCUACCAGAAUAUCUUGGUAGAAAUUCACAGUAGAGAUCAGGCUUGUCCUUCAUACAUUAACUAAUCAAGUAGGAAAGUGCAAAUGAGAACACAAUGCCAAACAUAGGCACCACAUGGAAACAAGCAUGGAACUGCCAGGAAGACAUUUUUGUAGCUUUAUAGCCCAAUUAUAUUUUUCCUAAUGUAUUGCACACAAAACUUGGGGGAAAAAAAAGAGGCAGAGAGAAAACAGGUUAUAUCAGCCCUAUCUCACAAUCCACAAGUUCAUCCUAUCAGAGGAGUAACUAUGUAAAACAAACUUUAUCUGUUGAAUGUCCUAUUUAGUUAAUCGCAAAACUGUAGGAGUACACACUUGUGACUUAUUUAGCAGCUUGUUUGUUCUCUUUCCUCUGGCUUCACAAAGGUCCUUUGGAAAGAGAAAGUACAUUUGGAACCCUGUACACCUUUUCUUUCUCCAGUACCCUCUUGUCACUUCCAUCACUAAGGUGACAGAAGCAACUAUGGGCAAUGCAUUUGUAGCACACCUGGGUCAGAGGUAUCCUCCAGGGGAAGGAUCAGACCUGCUUGAAAACAUGUCGUUGGAAUUGGGAGGCUUCUAGUAGCUAUAACAUAAGCACUGAUGUUUACUGUUCCCUGCCGUCCACUUUGAUCACUCUGGGAAACAUUUUUUUAAAAAAAUCAAUUGUAUUCAAACAUAAUUUACAUAAAAUAAAUAUUCCUAUUUUAAAGUGCACAGUUUGCUGAGUUUUGCCAGAUGUAACCAUCCAGGUGAAUAAAAUUGAUUAAACUGAUCUUUCAAAUAAUAAAUUAAACUUGCAAUCUUGCUAGAAAUUUAAUUUGUUCAGUUUAUUAUCCAUUCUAUGUACUGCUACAUUCAAUUGGUUAUUAUGUUUUAAGGACUUUUGAGUCUAUGUUUAUGAGGGAUAAACAUCAAAGUUGAAUAAAGCCUUUGUCUCGAUUUGGAAUCAGGGCAAUACUGGGUUCAUAAAAUAAGAUAGGAAGUGUCCCUUUAGAUUCUUUUUUUUUUUUUUUUUUUUUUUUUUGAGACGGAGAUUCACUCUUGUUGCCCAGGCUGGAGUGCAAUGGCACAAUUUCGGCUCUCCACAACCUCUGCCUCCCAGAUUCAAGCUAUUCUCCUGCCUCUGGCUUCCGAGGAGCUGGGAUUACAGGCAAGCGCCACCAUGCCCUGCUAAUUUUGUACUUUUAGUAGAGACGGGGGUUUCUCCAUGCUGGCCAGGUUGGUCUCAAACUCCUGACCCCAGGUGAUCUGCCCGUCUUGGCCUCCCAAAGUGCUGGGAUUACAGAUGAAAGCACCAUUAUCAAGUCAGAAGAGCACAAGUCAAACCACCGUAAGUUGAGGACUCUCUGUACUUUCUUAAAUGUUUGAUAGAAUUCACCUAAGAAACCAUGUAGACUGUAAUUAUAGAAAUCUUUUUAAAUUAAAAAAAUUCUUCAAUACAUAGAGAAGCUAUUACUUUUUCUAUUUCAUUUUGCAUCAGUUUUAAGAAUUAGUUUUACAAAUAAUUUCCCAGUUAUUUUAAUUGUCAAAUGUAUUGGCCUAAAGUUUUCAUAAUUAUAUUGAUGUCUGUAGGUUCUGUAGUUACAUCCUCUAUUUAAUUCCCAUUAUCUACAUUAUGUAGCUUCUCUAAUUUUUUUCAAGAUAAAUCUUGCUAGCCAUUGUUUAUUAAAAAAUUUUUUUCAAAGAACCAAUUUGUGGGUAUAUUAAUUAGCUCCACCUUUUGUUAUUUGCUAUGUUGUUGGUUUACAUUUUUAUCUUUAUCAUCUUCCUUCUUCUUAAUUUGGAUAUACUUUGCUCAUUUUUUUAGCCUCUUAAAAAAGAACCUAAAGGUCAUUGAUUGAAGCCUUUUAUUUUCAAUAUAUUACAUCUAUAAAUGUACCUUUAAGAAAGGAUUUAUCUGCAUCCCACAUUUUAUUAAGUUUUUAAAAAAUUUUCUUUCAGUUUAAACUUUUUUUUGUGUGUGAAACUUUUCUUGACCAAUGGGUUUUUCUGAAGCAUUUUGUUUAAUGUUCAAAUGUUGGGGUGUUAUUGUAUAUAUCCUACUGUUGUCCAUCUCUGGUUCAUGAUACAACGC